rnacentral:rRNA from 1 species
UACGUAGGUGGCAAGCGUUGUCCGGAUUUACUGGGCGUAAAGAGCGCGCAGGCGGUCUUUUAAGUCGAACGUGAAAUCCCCGGGCUCAACCCGGGAACUGCGUCCGAUACUGGCAGGCUUGAAUCCGGGAGAGGGAUGCGGAAUUCCAGGUGUAGCGGUGAAAUGCGUAGAUAUCUGGAGGAACACCGGUGGCGAAGGCGGCAUCCUGGACCGGCAUUGACGCUGAGGCGCGAAAGCCAGGGGAGCAAACGGG